rnacentral:rRNA from 1 species
UUGCCUGGCGGCCGUAGCGCGGUGGUCCCACCUGACCCCAUGCCGAACUCAGAAGUGAAACGCCGUAGCGCCGAUGGUAGUGUGGGGUCUCCCCAUGCGAGAGUAGGGAACUGCCAGGCAUCAAAUUAAGCAGAAGGCCAUCCUGACGGAUGGCCUUUUNGCGAACCGGGGGAACUGAAACAUCUAAGUACCCCGAGGAAAAGAAAUCAACCGAGAUUCCCCCAGUAGCGGCGAGCGAACGGGGAGGAGCCCAGAGCCUGAAUCAGUGUGUGUGUUAGUGGAAGCGUCUGGAAAGGCGCGCGAUACAGGGUGACAGCCCCGUACACAAAAAUGCACAUACUGUGAGCUCGAUGAGUAGGGCGGGACACGUGGUAUCCUGUCUGAAUAUGGGGGGACCAUCCUCCAAGGCUAAAUACUCCUGACUGACCGAUAGUGAACCAGUACCGUGAGGGAAAGGCGAAAAGAACCCCGGCGAGGGGAGUGAAAAAGAACCUGAAACCGUGUACGUACAAGCAGUGGGAGCCUCUUUAUGGGGUGACUGCGUACCUUUUGUAUAAUGGGUCAGCGACUUAUAUUCUGUAGCAAGGUUAACCGAAUAGGGGAGCCGAAGGGAAACCGAGUCUUAACUGGGCGUUAAGUUGCAGGGUAUAGACCCGAAACCCGGUGAUCUAGCCAUGGGCAGGUUGAAGGUUGGGUAACACUAACUGGAGGACCGAACCGACUAAUGUUGAAAAAUUAGCGGAUGACUUGUGGCUGGGGGUGAAAGGCCAAUCAAACCGGGAGAUAGCUGGUUCUCCCCGAAAGCUAUUUAGGUAGCGCCUCGUGAAUUCAUCUCCGGGGGUAGAGCACUGUUUCGGCAAGGGGGUCAUCCCGACUUACCAACCCGAUGCAAACUGCGAAUACCGGAGAAUGUUAUCACGGGAGACACACGGCGGGUGCUAACGUCCGUCGUGAAGAGGGAAACAACCCAGACCGCCAGCUAAGGUCCCAAAGUCAUGGUUAAGUGGGAAACGAUGUGGGAAGGCCCAGACAGCCAGGAUGUUGGCUUAGAAGCAGCCAUCAUUUAAAGAAAGCGUAAUAGCUCACUGGUCGAGUCGGCCUGCGCGGAAGAUGUAACGGGGCUAAACCAUGCACCGAAGCUGCGGCAGCGACGCUUAUGCGUUGUUGGGUAGGGGAGCGUUCUGUAAGCCUGCGAAGGUGUGCUGUGAGGCAUGCUGGAGGUAUCAGAAGUGCGAAUGCUGACAUAAGUAACGAUAAAGCGGGUGAAAAGCCCGCUCGCCGGAAGACCAAGGGUUCCUGUCCAACGUUAAUCGGGGCAGGGUGAGUCGACCCCUAAGGCGAGGCCGAAAGGCGUAGUCGAUGGGAAACAGGUUAAUAUUCCUGUACUUGGUGUUACUGCGAAGGGGGGACGGAGAAGGCUAUGUUGGCCGGGCGACGGUUGUCCCGGUUUAAGCGUGUAGGCUGGUUUUCCAGGCAAAUCCGGAAAAUCAAGGCUGAGGCGUGAUGACGAGGCACUACGGUGCUGAAGCAACAAAUGCCCUGCUUCCAGGAAAAGCCUCUAAGCAUCAGGUAACAUCAAAUCGUACCCCAAACCGACACAGGUGGUCAGGUAGAGAAUACCAAGGCGCUUGAGAGAACUCGGGUGAAGGAACUAGGCAAAAUGGUGCCGUAACUUCGGGAGAAGGCACGCUGAUAUGUAGGUGAAGCGACUUGCUCGUGGAGCUGAAAUCAGUCGAAGAUACCAGCUGGCUGCAACUGUUUAUUAAAAACACAGCACUGUGCAAACACGAAAGUGGACGUAUACGGUGUGACGCCUGCCCGGUGCCGGAAGGUUAAUUGAUGGGGUUAGCGGUAACGCGAAGCUCUUGAUCGAAGCCCCGGUAAACGGCGGCCGUAACUAUAACGGUCCUAAGGUAGCGAAAUUCCUUGUCGGGUAAGUUCCGACCUGCACGAAUGGCGUAAUGAUGGCCAGGCUGUCUCCACCCGAGACUCAGUGAAAUUGAACUCGCUGUGAAGAUGCAGUGUACCCGCGGCAAGACGGAAAGACCCCGUGAACCUUUACUAUAGCUUGACACUGAACAUUGAGCCUUGAUGUGUAGGAUAGGUGGGAGGCUUUGAAGUGUGGACGCCAGUCUGCAUGGAGCCGACCUUGAAAUACCACCCUUUAAUGUUUGAUGUUCUAACGUUGGCCCCUGAUCGGGGUUGCGGACAGUGUCUGGUGGGUAGUUUGACUGGGGCGGUCUCCUCCUAAAGAGUAACGGAGGAGCACGAAGGUUGGCUAAUCCUGGUCGGACAUCAGGAGGUUAGUGCAAUGGCAUAAGCCAGCUUGACUGCGAGCGUGACGGCGCGAGCAGGUGCGAAAGCAGGUCAUAGUGAUCCGGUGGUUCUGAAUGGAAGGGCCAUCGCUCAACGGAUAAAAGGUACUCCGGGGAUAACAGGCUGAUACCGCCCAAGAGUUCAUAUCGACGGCGGUGUUUGGCACCUCGAUGUCGGCUCAUCACAUCCUGGGGCUGAAGUAGGUCCCAAGGGUAUGGCUGUUCGCCAUUUAAAGUGGUACGCGAGCUGGGUUUAGAACGUCGUGAGACAGUUCGGUCCCUAUCUGCCGUGGGCGCUGGAGAACUGAGGGGGGCUGCUCCUAGUACGAGAGGACCGGAGUGGACGCAUCACUGGUGUUCGGGUUGUCAUGCCAAUGGCACUGCCCGGUAGCUAAAUGCGGAAGAGAUAAGUGCUGAAAGCAUCUAAGCACGAAACUUGCCCCGAGAUGAGUUCUCCCUGAGACUUUAAGUCUCCUGAAGGAACGUUGAAGACGACGACGUUGAUAGGCCGGGUGUGUAAGCGCAGCGAUGCGUUGAGCUAACCGGUACUAAUGAACCGUGAGGCUUAACCUU